rnacentral:rRNA from 1 species
UACCAGCACCCCGAGUGGUCGGGACGAUUAUUGGGCCUAAAGCAUCCGUAGUCGGUUCUACAAGUCUUCCGUUAAAUCCACCUGCUUAACAGAUGGGCUGCGGAGGAUACUAUGGAGCUAGGAGGCGGGAGAGGCAAGCGGUACUUAGUGGGUAGGGGUAAAAUCCGUUGAUCCAUUGAAGACCACCAGUGGCGAAGGCGGCUUGCCAGAACGCACUCGACGGUGAGGGAUGAAAGCUGGGGGAGCAAACCGG